rnacentral:lncRNA from 1 species
GCCUCCUGAGUGGCUAGGACAACAGGCUUAAAAAGUUGCAGAAAACAUUAAUUCUCCAGUUUUGAAGGUGAGAGGGAACUUAUUCAUAAAAUAAAUGUAUGGCUUUGAUGUAAGUUUUCACUGUAUAAAUAUGAUUUAAGGAAAUGAGAAAUGCAAGUUAAAAGCAUAUUGGCUAAUUAGCCAGAUACCUGCAUCUUUUUUUAUUGCAUCAUUAUAAAUGCCGCAUUACGAGUUCUUUCUUGGAUGUCAUGUUGUAAAUAAUCUCUUUAGGGCCAUAUUUUCAAAACUACUCUAGCAGUAUUUCAGCAUUUAUUUACCAGGUAUAUCUGCUUAUUCCAGUCAUUUUAGUUACCUUGUAUUUUAGUUAUCUCACAAAUCAAAAGGAAGUGUGCUUCAACUUUUCCUUCUGCAGAUGUGUCUUAGGAC